AGCCCCGUGGUGAAGACCACAUCAGAUUGCAAAUCCGAAGACGCAGAUUAACAUCUGCCGGGGCUU
rnacentral:tRNA from 1 species